rnacentral:rRNA from 1 species
ACGUGAUCUGAGUUCAGACCGGAGUAAUCCAGGUCGGUUUCUAUCUAUAACAGAGCUUAUUCUAGUACGAAAGGACCGAAAAAGCGUGGCCUAUACUUAAAGCAAGCCUCCACUAAAAACUUAUGCUUUCCACUCAAUUAACUAUUAGCCUUCAACCUCCCUCAAAACAAGAGA